UACACGACCGUACCGCAAACCGACACUGGUGCGCGAGAUGAGUAUUCUAAGGCGCUUGAGAGAACUCAGGAGAAGGAACUCGGCAAAUUGACACCGUAACUUCGGAAGAAGGUGUGCCUUUAGUAGGUGAAGGGAUUUACUCCUGGAGCCCAAUGAGGUUGCAAAAAAUCGGUGGCUGCGACUGUUUAUUAAAAACACAGCACUCUGCAAACACGAAAGUGGACGUAUAGGGUGUGACGCCUGCCCGGUGCUGGAAGAUUAAAUGAUGGGGUGCAAGCUCUUGAUUGAAGUCCCAGUAAACGGCGGCCGUAACUAUAACGGUCCUAAGGUAGCGAAAUUCCUUGUCGGGUAAGUUCCGACCUGCACGAAUGGCGUAACGAUGGCCACACUGUCUCCUCCUGAGACUCAGCGAAGUUGAAAUGUUUGUGAUGAUGCAAUCUCCCCGCGGAAAGACGGAAAGACCCCAUGAACCUUUACUGUAGCUUUGUAUUGGACUUUGAACAGAUCUGUGUAGGAUAGGUGGGAGGCUUUGAAGCAGGGUCGCUAGAUCUUGUGGAGCCAACGUUGAAAUACCACCCUGGUGUGUUUGAGGUUCUAACCUAGGCCCGUAAUCCGGGUUGGGGACAGUGCAUGGUAGGCAGUUUGACUGGGGCGGUCUCCUCCCAAAGUGUAACGGAGGAGUUCGAAGGUACGCUAGUUACGGUCGGACAUCGUGACGAUAGUGCAAUGGCAUAAGCGUGCUUAACUGCGAGACUGACAAGUCGAGCAGAUGCGAAAGCAGGACAUAGUGAUCCGGUGGUUCUGUAUGGAAGGGCCAUCGCUCAACGGAUAAAAGGUACUCUGGGGAUAACAGGCUGAUACCGCCCAAGAGUUCAUAUCGACGGCGGUGUUUGGCACCUCGAUGUCGGCUCAUCUCAUCCUGGGGCUGUAGCCGGUCCCAAGGGUAUGGCUGUUCGCCAUUUAAAGAGGUACGUGAGCUGGGUUUAAAACGUCGUGAGACAGUUUGGUCCCUAUCUUCCGUGGGCGCUGCAGAUUUGAGGAAGCCUGCUCCUAGUACGAGAGGACCGGAGUGGACGCACCUCUGGUGUAUCGGUUGUCACGCCAGUGGCAUUGCCGAGUAGCUAUGUGCGGAAGAGAUAACCGCUGAAAGCAUCUAAGCGGGAAACUCGUUUCAAGAUGAGAUCUGCCGGGGCCUUGAGCCCCCUGAAGAGUCGUUCAAGACCAGGACGUUGAUAGGUCGGGUGUGGAAGCGCAGUAAUGCGUUAAGCUAACCGAUACUAAUUGCUCGUGCGGCUUGACCCU
rnacentral:rRNA from 1 species